ACGUUACCCGCAGAAGAAGCACCGGCUAACUCCGUGCCAGCAGCCGCGGUAAUACGGAGGGUGCAAGCGUUAAUCGGAAUUACUGGGCGUAAAGCGCACGCAGGCGGUCUGUCAAGUCGGAUGUGAAAUCCCCGGGCUCAACCUGGGAACUGCAUUCGAAACUGGCAGGCUUGAGUCUUGUAGAGGGGGGUAGAAUUCCAGGUGUAGCGGUGAAAUGCGUAGAGAUCUGGAGGAAUACCGGUGGCGAAGGCGGCCCCCUGGACAAAGACUGACGCUCAGGUGCGAAAGCAUGGGGAGCAAACAGGAUUAGAUACCCUGGUAGUCCACGCCGUAAACGAUGUCUACUUGGAGGUUGUGCCCUUGAGGCGUGGCUUCCGGAGCUAACGCGUUAAGUAGACCGCCUGGGGAG
rnacentral:rRNA from 1 species